CGCGGGGCGACGGGCCCGAGACGGCGUUCCGCACCCCGGAUUCGCCUUGGUUCGGCCCCGCGUACAUUUCCCUUUCUCCAUGAUCUCCAACACUGAUAAAGUGGAAGAAACUGAGGUACCAUGAAAGAGAAAAGUAACUGGAACUGAGAAAAAGAAAGAGCUCUGUGAGGUCAUCAUUGAAGUAGAGCAGUAUUGCAGGUGUGUGGAGU